GGACUCCCUUGAUAGAUGUUAUCACGAAGGUGCUGUCCAGGCUCUGUGUCGCUGGUUUGCCCUCUCCACCCAGACCGCUGCCGUCAUGGAGGAACUCAACACAUUUACUGCCUGUCUCACUCAUUCUGACAUGUCUCAGAGUCUAGCAACCUCAAGGAAUUCAACCAUUAAGUUAACAGGUGACCAUGACAAACGUGAUUCCGAGGGGUCUAUUUUGCUGCUCUGUGGUGAGAGGGGUUGCUUCAGGAGUUCCCGGAAGAAGAAUCCUAGAAUCCUGGCCAUCCCUCACCUCUGUGGAAUCAGCAGCUCCAGUGUGGAUAUCAGAUCUGUACUGAGAGACAUCACCACUGAGCUACGCCUGGCCCAUUAUGGUGAAGGACCUACGCUGGCUCCCUGACCUUCCAACACCUUACCCUGCCCUGCCAGGAGCCGCACAGGACCCUGCUGCAAUUCCUCUUGGGAACCACUACCAGGCUGGGAUGGACCGCCUGCCGCUGUUCCUGGCGGUGGUGGCUAGCGAGCUGCAGAUGUGCGGCAUCCUGAGGGGAACGGAGGAGGAGUUGAUAGAGGAGUAUGUGGAAGUGGAUUCUAUGGCAGAGCUGUGAGCCAAGGUGAUUCAGCGCUGGAUCAAUGACUAUGGCGGGGUCAGUGAGGGUACGGCCAGUCCAGCCAGCGCUGGAUAAAUGACUAUGGCGGGGUCGGCCAGUCCAGCCAAAGGAACAGGAGGGCCUACCUCUCAGGUGUCCAACAAAGAUCUCAGAGACUGGAUAUGAGACGCUCUCUGCCUCGUUCACCUCUCCCAUGCUGGGCUGACUGAGGAGCAGGUCUUGGUCCUGCUGGAGGUUCUUGGUUACCCUGGGUACUUACAGGUUCUACCUCUGGAGUGGGCCCGGUUCCGCACUGCUGCUGGGCCCUGGGUACAGGAGAGACCCAAUGGAACACUGAGCCUCACCCACCAAUCACUGGGCCAAGCUAUGGACCUCCUC